rnacentral:misc_RNA from 1 species
GGGAAUUAGGAGCCAAAUACUGUGAUGGGAAACAUGGAAAAAAAAAUCUGGGGACCAUGGGGAUCGGCCAGGUAUGGCCCCCUUGCCUCCCCUGGUGCCUCUUUUGGGUAUAUUUCUACUAUAGCUAACACCUGAAUGAUCCAACCCACUUAGUAUUUGAUGUUUGUUACUUGUAUGUGUUGUAGUGGUGCUAAUUUUGAUUAGUGAAUACAAUAAAUGACUGAAAUCGGGUUGCAUCUUGUCAUCUUGAUGGCAUCUAUGAUGUUUUUACUUAUUAGAGAAGGUAAGAAGUCAAAAAAUAAAGGAUGUUUUCAUGCAAUGAGAAACUCUUCUUCUUUUUCAAGUUUAUCGUCUAAUCACUCUCAGAUGCACAUGAGUGUAGU